CAGGCGAUGUGCGAAGACUUUCUUUUCGUAGCAGGCUCAAGCCUCUUGUCUCCAGGUAGUUGGUGUCUGUCUGUCUGUCUGUCUGUCUGUUGCUGUUGCUGUUGCUGUUGCUGUCGAGGUUGAUGCAGUCG
rnacentral:miRNA from 1 species